GGGCCUAUAGCUCAAUUGGCAGAGCUCCCGGCUCAUAACCGGAUGGUUUCAGGUUCAAGUCCUGGUGGGCCCACCA
rnacentral:tRNA from 1 species